CACACACACACACACACACACCAGGGCACACCCUGAGCUCCCCUGCUGUGGCCUCCAUGGCCUGUCGCAACUGUCAAGGGGCCCCCGUCUGGCGGGCUUGGGUCCGGCUCCCCCGCCGCCACCGUGAUUUAUUCGCCUCACUCGACGGAAUCAGGUGCUGAACCCAUCCCCGGAACAAGGGAACAGAUUUCUCCCAGGAAGGGUUUUGUGAAUUUAACGAUGCUAAUUACGGGGUGCGGAACGCUCCGCCGCCGCCGGAGGAGGGGAGGCGCGCAGGGCCAAGCUGGGCCAGCUUGGGGAAAGGCUCAGGCUGCGGGCCUCCCUGGGCGCUUUCCAGAAGCCUCCUUUACGCCUCUCGCCCGGGUUUCACCCUUCCCUGGGAACUUUCCUGUCUGAGUUAACUAUUAACCGUUGACGAGAGGCAAUUUUCUUCGGAAUUUCAGCGAUUUCCUUUUCGUCCUGGAAGCAGAUUAACAUGCAAACGGGGAGGCGAUCGGCUCGAAGCUGUCCCUCCAAUCUGUCCCGGCCGCCGGACAGCGGAAAACUACAGCCCCGGCCCCCCCACGCCUGCUUGAGCAGGGGCCGUGACCCAGCCAGUACCCGCAGAGAAGAUGGAAAAAGCCCAGCGCCGGUGCUGGAGCGAAGUUGGAGGCACGGACACUGAUUGCGCCUUAUGAAGUUCUAACUGGUUUUGUGUCAGGAAGAUCUUUCUCGCUGCUACCCAGCCUGGCGUGACGGAUUAAACAUCAACUAGUUAAAUAAAAAUUAAUAUCAACUGCCUCCUAACUUCUAAUGUCAUGUUGUUUAUAACUAAUGAACUGAUUAGGGGAUAAACACAUCACGGAGACGUUCGGCUUUCCUGCCUCAGCUCCAUCCUCGCCGGUGCCCACUCCAGUGCUGCCAGUCGCCAGGCCAGGAAAGGGGGAGUUGGCUGGGAGGGCGGGGUAAGCUGCCUAGAGUGGGAGUCCCAGGGUUUGCUCCUCUGCCUGCCUUGAUCCAUCUCUCCUCUCU
rnacentral:sRNA from 1 species